rnacentral:rRNA from 2 species
CCUGAUGCAGCACGCCGCGUGAGUGAUGAAGGCCUUCGGGUCGUAAAACUCUGUCCUAUGGGAAGAAAAAAAUGACGGUACCAUAGGAGGAAGCCCCGGCUAACUACGUGCCAGCAGCCGCGGUAAUACGUAGGGGGCAAGCGUUAUCCGGAAUCACUGGGCGUAAAGGGUGCGUAGGUGGCUGAUCAAGCCAGGGGUGAAAGGCAUUGGCUCAACCAAUGUAAGCCUUUGGAACUGAUCGGCUUGAGUGCAGGAGAGGUAAGUGGAAUUCCUAGUGUAGAGGUGAAAUUCGUAGAUAUUAGGAGGAACACCAGUGGCGAAGGCGACUUACUGGACUGUAACUGACACUGAGGCACGAAAGCGUGGGGAGCGAACAGGAUUAGAUACCCUGGUAGA